GAUGAACGCUAGCUACAGGCUUAACACAUGCAAGUCGAGGGAGCGGCGGACGGGUGAGUAAUGUCUGGGAAACUGCCUGAUGGAGGGGGAUAACUACUGGAAACGGUAGCUAAUACCGCAUACCAUCAGAUGUGCCCAGAUGGGAUUGGCUGGUAGGUGGGGUAAAGGCUCACCUAGGCGACGAUCCCUAGCUGUUCUGAGAGGAUGACCAGCCACACUGGAACUGAGACACGGUCCAGACUCCUACGGGAGGCAGCAGUGGGGAAUAUUGCACAAUGGGCGCAAGCCUGAUGCAGCCAUGCCGCGUGUAUGAAGAAGGCCUUCGGGUUGUAAAGUACUUUCAGCGGGGAGGCGUUACCCGCAGAAGAAGCACCGGCUAACUCCGUGCCAGCCGCCGCGGUAAUAC
rnacentral:rRNA from 1 species